rnacentral:rRNA from 1 species
CCUACGGGUGGCAGCAGUGAGGAAUAUUGGUCAAUGGACGAGAGUCUGAACCAGCCAAGUAGCGUGAAGGAUGACCGCCCUAUGGGUUGUAAACUUCUUUUAUAUGGGAAUAAAACGUUCCACGUGUGGGAUUUUGUAUGUACCAUAUGAAUAAGGAUCGGCUAACUCCGUGCCAGCAGCCGCGGUAAUACGGAGGAUCCGAGCGUUAUCCGGAUUUAUUGGGUUUAAAGGGAGCGUAGGUGGAUUGUUAAGUCAGUUGUGAAAGUUUGCGGCUCAACCGUAAAAUUGCAGUUGAAACUGGCAGUCUUGAGUACAGUAGAGGUGGGCGGAAUUCGUGGUGUAGCGGUGAAAUGCUUAGAUAUCACGAAGAACUCCGAUUGCGAAGGCAGUUCACUGGACUGCAACUGACACUGAGGCUCGAAAGUGUGGGUAUCAAACAGGAUUAGAUACCCUUGUAGUC